rnacentral:rRNA from 1 species
UACGGGGAGGCAGCAGUGGGGGAAUAGUUGCACAAUGGGGCGCAAGCCUGAUGCAGCCAUGCCGCGUGUAUGAAGAAGGCCUUCGGGUUGUAAAGUACUUUCAGCAGUGAGGAAGGUGGGGUAUGGUUAAUAGCAUAUUCAUUUGACGUUAGCUGCAGAAGAAGCACCGGCUAACUCCGUGCCAGCAGCCGCGGUAAUACGGAGGGUGCGAGCGUUAAUCGGAAUUACUGGGCGUAAAGCGCAUGCAGGUGGUUUGUUAAGUCAGAUGUGAAAGCCCGGGGCUCAACCUCGGAAUUGCAUUUGAAACUGGCAAACUAGAGUACUGUAGAGGGGGGUAGGAAUUUCAGGUGUAGCGGUGAAAUGCGUAGAGAUCUGAAGGAAUACCUGUGGCGAAGGCGGCCCCCUGGACAGAUACUGACACUCAGAUGCGAAAGCGUGGGGAGCAAACAGGAUUAGAUACCCUGGUAG